GAUGAACGCUGGCGGCGUGCCUAAUACAUGCAAGUCGAGCGAACAGACGAGGAGCUUGCUCCUCUGACGUUAGCGGCGGACGGGAGAGUAACACGUGGAUAACCUACCUAUAAUACUGGGAUAACUUCGGGAAACCGGAGCUAAUACCGGAUAAUAUAUUGAACCGCAUGGUUCAAUAGUGAAAGACGGUUUUGCUGUCACUUAUAGAUGGAUCCGCGCCGCAUUAGCUAGUUGGUAAGGUAACGGGUUACCAAGGGGACGAUGCGUAGACGACCUGAGAGGGUGAUCGGCCACACUGGAGCUUAGACACGGUCCAGACUCCUACGGGAGGCAGCAGUAGGGAAUCUUCCGCAAUGGGCGAAAGCCUGACGGAGCAACGCCGCGUGAGUGAUGAAGGUCUUCGGAUCGUAAAACUCUGUUAUUAGGGAAGAACAAAUGUGUAAGUAACUAUGCACGUCUUGACGGUACCUAAUCAGAAAGCCACGGCUAACUACGUG
rnacentral:rRNA from 1 species